rnacentral:rRNA from 1 species
UGAGGAAUAUUGCGCAAUGGGCGAAAGCCUGACGCAGCGACACCGCGUGAAGGAUGAAGGCCUUAGGGUUGUAAACUUCUGUUAAGUGGGAAGAAAGAGCCAAUCUUAAUAUGAUUGGAAGAUGACGGUACCACUAGAGAAAGCACCGGCUAACUUCGUGCCAGCAGCCGCGGUAAGACGAGGGGUGCGAACGUUAUUCGGAAUGAUUGGGCGUAAAGGGUGCGUAGACGGCUCGUUAAGUCAACUGUUAAAUUUCUCAGCCUAACUGGGAGUAUGCGGUAGAAACUGGCAAGCUAGAGGAUGGAAGAGAGAAGUGGAAUUCUCGGAGUAGCGGUAAAAUGCGUAGAUCUCGAGAGGAACACCGAUGGCGAAGGCAGCUUCUUGGUCCAUAUCUGACGUUGAGGCACGAAAGCGUGGGGAGCAAACAGGAUUAGAUACCCCCGUAGUCC